GCUUCCUUAGCUCAAUGGCAGAGCAACUGUUUUGUAAUCAGUCGACAUCCGUUCGAUUCGGUUAGGGGGCU
rnacentral:tRNA from 1 species